UACGUAGGGCGCAAGCGUUGUCCGGAAUUAUUGGGCGUAAAGAGCUCGUAGGCGGCUUGUCACGUCGGGUGUGAAAGCCCGGGGCUUAACCCCGGGUCUGCAUUCGAUACGGGCAGGCUAGAGUGUGGUAGGGGAGAUCGGAAUUCCUGGUGUAGCGGUGAAAUGCGCAGAUAUCAGGAGGAACACCGAUGGCGAAGGCAGGUCUCUGGGCCGCAACUGACGCUGAGGAGCGAAAGCAUGGGGAGCGAACAGG
rnacentral:rRNA from 1 species